GCCAGGCAUGGUGGCGCAUGCCUGUCGUUCUUGCUACUCAGGAGGCUGAGGCCGGAGGAUUGCUAGAACCCAGGAGUUUGAGGUUACAGUGAGCCAUGAUCGUGCCACUGUGAUCCAGCCUGGGUAACACAGCAAGACCCUGUCUCAA
rfam:Macaca mulatta chromosome 2, whole genome shotgun sequence.